CGGCGGGAGGCGGCGGUGUUCGCGCGGAGCCCUCAGCGCAGCCCCGCCGCGCUCGGGCCCGCGCCCCGCUGAGGGAGCCUGGGCCUUGCGCUCUGAUGUGUCGCGGUCUGGUUGCCCUGGAAACCACCGGAUGGGAAAAAAGGCAAUAUGGCCAAAGAGCAGUGGUAGAAAGGGGUUUGCCGAGUCAGUAUCCUUCAAACUAGGCCUAUUUUUGUGGUGAAUAGGUGUAAACAUUUAAUAACUUCUUUCAUCAGGCCUUGUGCCAUUGUUCUAAUACACUGUAGUUUUAGCCAAAGGUUCUUUAAAGGUCACCCAUUAGAACUCUCUUAUUCUACCUGUGAACACACAGUAUUCAUAAUUAUUUCCCCCUUCCUUGAAAUGCUUUGAGAUCUGUGGUUAAAGUCAGUUACAUAAAAGUUAAUGGUUAUAAAUUUACAUAGUUCCCAUUCUGGAAGGGUCAAUGCCUAAGUUGUAUGAGUUUUUCUGAAGACUAUAAUGUGGGAACACCCACAUGUCAGAAAGCAAGGUAGCAUUUGCAUGAAGGGACAUUGUUUCCCAGGUGUUUCCAAACGCACCUACGUGUACCAGGGAGUUUUAUUUCUGAAACCCGGAUCUAACGUCCUAGUUGAGUAUGCAACAACUGCAGUCACCACUAGAAAUAAAACCUGCUUAGUUAACCUACCAUAAUAGAAAAUGGAAAGGCUGACUGAUUAUCAAGACAAAAACUUUGAGCUCAUCCUGCAGUUUGGACUUCGGGACUUGCCUCUUUUUAAGGCACUCAGAAGAAACAUGUAAACAAUCUUCCAGAUUAAAAAGUUGCCGUAAGUACACAUGGUGGAAGAUAAGAACAAGCAGGGUGAGCUCAAGGACUCGCGGAAGCCCGGCUGUUUCAGUCCACGGAAUUUCAGAGAAAUUCCGUGCCGGCCAGAGCAGCAGCAGCCAGAGCAGUGCAACCACCGGCGGGCCGCGGGCAGCCCCGGUACCAGCGGGCACAGGCGCAGCACGGGGCAGCCGAGCGCUGCGGCGCGGAGAGAAGGCAAAACUACCCCCGGUGACCGGGAUGCCUUUUUUCCUGAAUGGAUUUGGGAUUGAGAUGCAGACGACCGACCUUCAGAAGAAGGACGAACAAGGCAACGAGCACACAGCAGCGAGCAGGAGCUGUCAAGGCGACGAAGAGACAGU